GUGUAGCUGACGAAUCCCAAAUAGGACGAAACACGUAUCCUAAAU
rnacentral:hammerhead_ribozyme from 1 species